AAAGUAAAAUAGGGAUGAAAGUACUGUUCACAUGGACAAUGUUAUGAGAUGAAACUGGUUUGAAAGGACUUUGCUCUUAACUGUAAUAAACCGAGUGUGUGCUGAUUUUCUAACAUGGAUUUGUUUUUCGGUCUAGGGCUUCCCUGGUUUCACAGUGGUUAAGAAUCCACCUGACAAUGCAGGGGACACGGGUUCAAGCCCUGGUCCGGGAAGAUCCCCCAUGCGGCGGAGCAACUAAGCCCGUGUGCCACAACUACUGAGCCCGUGUGCCACAACUACUGAGCCUGCGCGCCUAGAGCCCGUGCUCUGCAACAAGAGAAGCCACUGCAAUGAAAAGCCCGUGCACCGCAACGAAGAGCAGCCCCCGCUCGCCACAACUAGAGAAAGCCCACGCGCAGCAAUGAAGACCCAACGCAGCCAAAAAAAACAAAAAAACAAAAAAACAAAAAAACAGGUCUAAGAGGUUUCACACGUAACCAUCUCCUCCUUGCACUCUCUCCUGGGUCUCUACCCUGCUGGUCUUCUCUGCCUAAACUACUAUAUAUAAAAUAGAUAACUAAUAAUAACCUGCUGUAUAGCACAAGGAACUCUACUCAAUACUCUGUAAUGGCCUACAUGGGAAAAGAAUCUUAAAAAAAAAAAGAGUGGAUGUAUGUAUAUGUAUAACUGAUUCACUUUGCUGCACAAGUGAAACUAACACAACAUUGUAAAUCAACGAUACUUCAAUAAAAAUUAAAAGAAAAAUAAGUGAAAUACUUAAAGUUAAAAAAAAAAAAGCUUCCUAAUGAAAAGGAAUCCUCCAGCCCCAAAUGCACAUUUUUGCAAAAUCACCAUACCUGGGAGAAAUGAAAGUAAGAGAUGACAAAAGCAUUGCUCUCUUUUGACAAGAUAGCCAUCAUCUUUGCUUCAUCCCCCCAUAGUUUAUACCGUCUUGACCCUGGAAGUGGGGCAGAAAAAGGAAAAUGAGAGAUUGCUUUACUUUUUCCAAUAUUUUUAGUAUUUCCUCUUUAUUUCUCCUUCCACUGAGCUAUAUGAUGUUUUCUACACCUGAGGUGGGAUAUGGGAGAGAAGUGGAGGCUGACACCAUACAUAGUAGAAUAGGGAUCAUCUCUGGCAUUUAUCCAGUCAUUUAAUGCCUAUUAACAUAGUCCAAGAUUACAUUGGUUUCUUCAUCCUCCAUGAGACAGUGCAGGUACUUACUGAGCUUGUGCUCAUGAAAUAUCCCCCUUUCUACGCUUGUGCAAUUACCAUUUGAAGCACACAUUCAGGAUUCAAAUUUAUCUUUUUACUCAAUAUAG